rnacentral:rRNA from 1 species
UGACCGCUAAGAGUUGUAGCGUAUAGGUGAAACUUUCUACGGCCGAUGUAUACUCAAAGUCCCUUUGAUUGGGGCCACAGUCCUGAGAAGGUGCAAGACCUGUACGAGUUGCAUUGUGUUGUAGUCGGUUGCUCCUUGGAGUCGGGUUGCCUGAGAACGCAGCCUGAAUUGGGUGGUAAACUCCAUCUAAGGCUAAAUAGUACUGCGAGUCCGAUAGCAAACAAGUACCGUGAGGGAAAGUUGCAAAGAACUUUGAAGAGAGAGUUCAAGAGUGCGUGAAACCACUGGGAUGGAAACGGAUAGAGUUGACGAAUUGGGCGAUAUUCAGCUGUUUUGCGGUGAGCAAAGUGGUGUACUUAUCGUCUGUGUGCGCUGAGAGUCUUGGUUGAACAUUCUAAACCGUCGUAGUAUGUUGCCCGUCGUCUCACGGCGAUGGUGUCUUGCGCGUGCGAUGUGGGAUGUUUCGAUUAAGUAUUUUCGGUGUGAAAGUCGACCACCUAUCCGACCCGUCUUGAAACACGGACCAAGGAGUCUAGCGUAUGUGCGAGUCAUUGGGUGGUAAACCUAUUGGCGUAACGAAAGUAAAGGUCGUUUCUUGCGGCUGAUAUGGGAUCCGUACGGUUUCGAUCGUGCGGCGCACCAUAGCCCUGUCUCGAAGGCUUGCCUUGAGAUGGAGGUAGAGCGCAUGCGCUAGGACCCGAAAGAUGGUGAACUAUACGUGAGCAGGAUGAAGCCGGAGGAAACUCUGGUGGAAGUCCGUAACGGUUCUGACGUGCAAAUCGAUCGUCUGACUUGCGUAUAGGGGCG